GAGCAUGCGGCUUAAUUUCGACGCAACGCGAAGAACCUUACCAAGGCUUGACAUAUACAGGAAUAUGGCAGAGAUGUCAUAGCCGCAAGGUCUGUAUACAGGUGGUGCAUGGUUGUCGUCAGCUCGUGUCGUGAGAUGUUGGGUUAAGUCCCGCAACGAGCGCAACCCUCGUUCUGUGUUGCCAGCAUUUAGUUGGGGACUCACAGGAGACUGCCGGGGUUAACUCGGAGGAAGGUGGGGAUGACGUCAAAUCAUCAUGCCCCUUAUGUCUUGGGCUGCACGCAUGCUACAAUGGCUGGUACAAACGGCUGCAAUACCGCAAGGUGGAGCGAAUCCGAGAAAGCCAGUCUCAGUUCGGAUUGGGGUCUGCAACUCGACCCCAUGAAGUCGGAGUUGCUAGUAAUCGUAGAUCAGCAACGCUACGGUGAAUACGUUCCCGGGGCUUGUACACACCGCCCGUCACGUCACGAAAGUCGGUAACACC
rnacentral:rRNA from 1 species